rnacentral:rRNA from 1 species
UUGCAUAUUCCAAAAGCGGAGGAAAAGAAACCAACAGGGAUUGCCUCAGUAACGGCGAGUGAAGCGGCAAAAGCUCAAAUUUGAAAUCCCCCCGGGGAGUUGUAAUUUGAAGAUUGCGUCUUGGAGGCGACCGUGUCUAUGUUCCUUGGAACAGGACGUCACAGAGGGUGAGAAUCCCGUGCGGCACGGCCCCCGGCUCCUUAUAAGGCGCUCUCGACGAGUCGAGUUGUUUGGGAAUGCAGCUCAAAGUGGGUGGUAAAUUCCAUCUAAAGCUAAAUACAGGCGAGAGACCGAUAGCGAACAAGUACAGUGAUGGAAAGAUGAAAAGCACUUUGAAAAGAGAGUGAAACAGCACGUGAAAUUGUUGAAAGGGAAGGGCAUGCCGUCAGAUUGUCAGUGUGGGUAAGAAGCGGGGUACAAAGACUGUGGAACGUGGCCCUCGGGUGUUAUAGCCGCAGUUCAUGCCCCGUCUCUUUCCGAGGCCUGCUUUGAGGACACCGACGUAAUGACGGUACGCCGCCCGUCUUGAAACACGGACAC